rnacentral:lncRNA from 1 species
AAAAGGAUUGUAGCUGUGCCGAGCUAAGAAUCUUCGAACUACUGGUGAUGUUUCACUGCGAGAAAGCAGGUUGCAGGCUGCCACCAGCCACACUUGCGACUCAUCCAGCCUUUCCCGUGGGUUGGAGCAUUCCUGAUUUCCAUGUGGCCUCAGCUUUCUCCCGAUCUCCUGGAGGCGCCUGCAUUUCUCCUCAAGCUGAUCGCUGAGUAUUACAAGUUUGGCCCCAGCCUGCAGGAGCCUCUGCUGCUCUUGGCAGUGUUCAGGAGGGCCUUCCACUCUCAGCAGGCAUGGCUGGGCCUUCCACUGCUGUAUGGGAUUUCCCUGUGGCCUCAGCUUUCUACCGAUCUGGAGCUGCCUGCAUAUCACCUGCAGCCGCUCUCUGAGCACUUCAAGUAUGGUCCCAGCCUGCUGGAGCCUCUGCAGCUCCUGGCACUCUUCAGUAAAGCCUUCCACUCUCAGCAGGCAUGGCUGGGCCUUCCAUUGCUUUUUGGGAUUUCUCUGUGGCCUCAGCUUUCUCACAAUCUGGAGCUGCCUGCAUUUCUCCUCUAGCUGAUCGCUGAGCACUGCAAGUUUGGCGCCACUCUGCUGGAGCCUCUGCAGCUUUUGGCACUCUUCAGGAGGGUGUUCCUCCCUCUGCAGGCAUGGCUGGGCCAUCCAUUGCUGUUGUGGAUUUCCGUGUGGCCUCAGCCUUCUACCGAUCUGGAACUGCCUGCAUUUCUCCUGCAACUGAUCGCUGAGCACUCCAAGUUUGGCGCAAGCCUGCUGGAGCCUCUGCAGCUCCUGGCACUCUUCCGGAGGGCAUUCCUCCCUCAGCAGGCAGUGCUGGGCCUUCCACUGCUGUUUGGGAUUUCCACAUGGCCUCAGCUUUCUCCCGAUGUCCUGGAGCUGCCUGCAUAUAACCUGCAGCCGCUCUCUGAGCACUCCAAGUUUGGCCCCAGCCUGCUGGAGCCUCUGCAGCUCCUGGCCCUCUUCAGGAGGGCCUUCCUCCCUCAGCAGGCAGUGCUGGGCCUUCCAUUGCAUUUUGGGAUUUCCUUGUGGCCUCAGCUUUCUCCCAAUCUGGAGCUGCCUGCAUUUCUCCCCCAGCUGAUUGCUGAGUAUUGCAAGUAUGGCCCCAGCCUGCUGGAGCCUCUGCAGCUCCUGGCACUCGUCAGGAGGGCAUUCCUCUCUCAGAAGGCAGUGCUGGGCCUUCCAUUGCUGCUGUGGAUUUCCCUGUGGCCUCAGCUCUCUCCCGAUGUCCUGGAGCUGCCUGAAUUUGUCCUGCAGCCUCUCACUGAGCACUCCAAGUUUGGCCCCAGCCUGCUGGAGCCUCUGCAGCUCCUGGCCCACUUCUGCAGAGCGUCCCUCUCUCAGCAGGCAGUGAGACAAGGCAGACUUCUCCUUUCCAAGGAGUCUGCCUUGUCUCUGUAGAUCCUUCAGC